rnacentral:rRNA from 1 species
UACGGAGGGGGCUAGCGUUGUUCGGAAUUACUGGGCGUAAAGCGCACGUAGGCGGCUUUGUAAGUUAGAGGUGAAAGCCCGGGGCUCAACUCCGGAAUUGACCUUUAAGACUGCAUCGCUAGAAUUGUGGAGAGGUAAGUGGAAUUCCGAGUGUAGAGGUGAAAUUCGAUAGAUAUUCGGAAGAACACCAGUGGCGAAGGCGACUUACUGGACACAUAUUGACGCUGAGGUGCGAAAGCGUGGGGAGCAAACAGG